GAGAGAGAGAGAGAGCACCAGCAGGAGGACAGAGGGAGUGAGAAUCCCAAGCAGAUUCCAUGCUGAGCAUAGAGCCAGACUGAGGGGGGGCUCAAUCUUACCACCCUGAGAUCAGAAGUUGGACAGUCAACCAACUGUGCCACCCAGAUGUCCCAUGAUGUCUCUGUUUAUGUUAAAGGAACAGAAGUAAAACUAUACUUCAUAGUCCAUAAAAUUUAGCAUGUACAUCAAUAAAGUAUGGCACUCAUUAAUUUUUUCUCACAGUACCAAUGGACUGCCUAAAAAAGAUGAAGUAAAAACAAUAAGUGCCAGAGGAAGAUCAUUCCUGUUUAUGAAGUUCCUGGAAAGUUACCCUUAAUGCAGUUUUCAAGCACAAACAAAGAGAAAAACAAUUGACGGCCUUUCUUAAUAUUUGCAAUUCGCUUGUUUCAUUUUCAUGUGCAUGGAGACAGUGUUCCCCUCUAAUGAAAGUAUCAGAGAACCA
rnacentral:lncRNA from 1 species